AGAGCGAACGCUGGCGGCAGGCUUAACACAUGCAAGUCGAGCGGGCGUAGCAAUACGUCAGCGGCAGACGGGUGAGUAACGCGUGGGAACGUACCUUUUGGUUCGGAACAACACAGGGAAACUUGUGCUAAUACCGGAUAAGCCCUUACGGGGAAAGAUUUAUCGCCAAAAGAUCGGCCCGCGUCUGAUUAGCUAGUUGGUGAGGUAACGGCUCACCAAGGCGACGAUCAGUAGCUGGUCUGAGAGGAUGAUCAGCCACAUUGGGACUGAGACACGGCCCAAACUCCUACGGGAGGCAGCAGUGGGGAAUAUUGGACAAUGGGCGCAAGCCUGAUCCAGCCAUGCCGCGUGAGUGAUGAAGGCCCUAGGGUUGUAAAGCUCUUUUGUGCGGGAAGAUAAUGACGGUACCGCAAGAAUAACGCCCGGACUAACGUUCGUGCCAGCAGCCGC
rnacentral:rRNA from 1 species